CGACUGGUGGACUGGCUGGUCUUUCGGCUGCGGAUCGAAGGAAGAAAAAACCUGGCCGCGGUUGAGUCCGCCCUGUUGG
rnacentral:tRNA from 1 species